GUUUUAAAGGGAAGCAACGCUACAGUGUUUGCCUAUGGACAGACCUCAUCCGGUAAAACCCACACCAUGGUGGGUCGACCGGACUGUCCCGGUAUCAUCCCUCAGGCCAUCGACAGCCUUUUUAGGGGCAUGGAGGACACACCAGACGUUCGUUUUACCAUUAGAGCUUCGUUUAUGGAAAUAUACAACAGUGCGUCUACGACCUUUUGGUGGGUCGCGCCAAC